rnacentral:rRNA from 1 species
GAAGAAAGAUGGGGGCGUGCCUAAUACAUGCAAGUAGAACGCUGAAGCUUGGUGCUUGCACCGAGCGGAUGAGUUGCGAACGGGUGAGUAACGCGUAGGUAACCUGCCUGGUAGCGGGGGAUAACUAUUGGAAACGAUAGCUAAUACCGCAUAAGAGUAGAUGUUGCAUGACAUUUGCUUAAAAGGUGCAAUUGCAUCACUACCAGAUGGACCUGCGUUGUAUUAGCUAGUUGGUGAGGUAACGGCUCACCAAGGCAACGAUACAUAGCCGACCUGAGAGGGUGAUCGGCCACACUGGGACUGAGACACGGCCCAGACUCCUACGGGAGGCAGCAGUAGGGAAUCUUCGGCAAUGGACGGAAGUCUGACCGAGCAACGCCGCGUGAGUGAAGAAGGGUUUCGGAUCGUAAAGCUCUGUUGUAAGAGAAGAACGAGUGUGAGAGUGGAAAGUUCACACUGUGACGGUAUCUUACCAGAAAGGGACGGCUAACUACGUG